CACCCGAGUCUCAACCCCCCAUUUCUCUCUCCUCUCAAUAUGGCGGCGAUUCGCGGCGGGGAUGUCGGGGUCGGGGGCGAAUCAUCGCAUGUUGGUGCUGGGGACGGGAUUCGUGGGGCGCUACGCGUCGGAGCGCUUGAUCGAACACGACGACGAAGAAGACGAAGUAGGGUGGCAAGUCUCCGGGACCUGCACUAGCGCUGCAAAGAAAAGAGAACUUGAGAAGAUUGGAAUUGAUGCUUUCAUCUUUGAUGCAACUAAAAGCAAGAUGACAGAUCUUCACACUUUGAAACAUGCAACUCAUCUGCUCAUCUCCAUUCCAACUAUUGCAGGCAUUGGCGAUCCUUUACUCUUUUCAUAUGAAGACUUACGAAAUACAUUGAGCCAUGGAAACCUUCGGUGGCUAUGUUACUUAUCAUCAACAAGUGUUUAUGGAGAUUGUGGAGGCGCCUUGGUUGACGAGGACUAUCCUGCGAACCCGAAAAGUGAGUCUGCUAAACUAAGAUUAGCAGCAGAGAAAGGGUGGUCGCAACUAGGGAGUGAACUAGGUCUAUCAGUUUACAUAUUUCGACUUGGAGGAAUAUAUGGCCCUGGAAGAAGUGCUCUGGACACCAUGGUUAAAAGGAAAUCCUUGUCAAAAGGACAAAAGCUGAGGGAGUCGAGGCAAUACACUGCGCGAGUUCAUGUUGCUGAUAUUUAUCAGGCGAUUAAAGCAAGCUUCAAAGUACCAUCUUCAGGGAGGAUAUACAACGUCGUCGAUGAUGACCCCGCUUCUCGAGCUGAAGUGUUUGCUUUCGCUCGGAACUUGUUAGAGCACAGGUUUCCUGAUAUGGCGAAAGAGUUUGGUGAUGUUAGUUUACCAGAUUUAGCAUCAACUGAGAAGAAAAUGCAUGGUGAAAAGCGUGUAUCGAAUGCUCGUUUGAAGAACGAGCUCGGCGUCAGGCUGUUGUACCCGACGUAUCGAUCCGGGCUGCAGAGUAUUUUUGACUCAUGGUCAGUUGAUAAUUACUAGCCAUGAGAGUUGAAGAACAAAAUGUUGUGGAGAUAUCUUAGGAGAAAAGUAAAGAAUCUGAAGUUGAAUAAAAUAGCAAAAUGAGAAUCAUCUCAACUACAUUGCCAUGGUUAGUGUGGAACAAACAGCUUCCCACCACACAAAAAGCAAAGGACUCUUCAUCUGGCAAAACACUAGUAACCAUAACUGGCGCUAAAAGCAGAAGCAGUAUCAGUGCCAUACAGCUACUGCAGCAACAGAUCAGGAAAGGGUAACUGCUUAGAGUAAACUACUACUUUUAUUGACUAAAAAACCGUAGUACAUCAUGUGGGCUAUUACAGAUACAAUAGAUACAAGAGGUUAGUUCAACACUUAUGGCUUAUUACGUCUACCUUCAACUCGGAAAUUUAUUAGAUAAUUAAUGGUGUUACAAUUAUUAGGGCCACUGAAGUGCAUCCAAAGCCUGUUUAUGGACCAGGGCAUCUCCCGCCGCCACCACAUUAAAACCUAAAAUAGAUUCAAGAAACAAGGUGUAAGUAAAAAAUUCUCAACCCCACAAGAAAGAAAA